rnacentral:rRNA from 1 species
CCCCCAACCCCAUCGCCUCUCCAAGAGACGAGGGCGGUCUGCGGGGCGGACAUUGGCCUCCCGUGAGCUUUCGCUCGCGGCUGGCCUAAAAGCGAGUCCUCGGCGAC